rnacentral:lncRNA from 1 species
UAUCUUUUUCAUUGCCUUGGACUUCAAUCUGGACUUUCCUUUAUCACCAUGAUCUCUCUCCAUGGGUCUUCCUUGUGCUACCAUUGCAUCAGCUGAUGAACUUUGACUUGAUUUAUGCCUUAGUUCUUCAGUAAAAAGCGAUACUACAAUAAAUUCCAUCUCAAGAGACUUCACAUGGCUAAGAUUUAUGAUUAGAUUAUUCCA